rnacentral:lncRNA from 1 species
GGUUUUGUGUUCUCUGGGUUUCUACGUUUUCUGAAACAAUCUCUUCAGACUUGUGUUCUCUGGGUUUCAAUGUUUGGGUCGCUCGUUGUUUAGCUGGUUUUGAAAAUUUAUCUUGGAUCUGGAAAAUGGCUAUUUUGUGUUCUCCGGUGUUGUAAGUUUUUCAUACUCUAUUUUGUUGGUGAAAUGGGUUUUGUUUGUCUUCAGAUUUCUUGAGUUUUAAACAUAAUUAGUGAAGAAUUUGAGAUUUGUCUAGUUUUCUGUUUGAAUUACUUUGUUGUAAUACAUUCAUGGGAAAAGAUUGAUUUGCUUAGUUGUUUUCAAUUAGUUUUUUCUUGUGUGUAUCUUUAACUAUAUCAAUUGUCUAUUAUGUUAAAAUCUGAACUCUUUUUAUUACCUCUGGAUUUAGUGUUUAGGAUUUUGAAGUACUUUUGAGUGAGUUUGAGUCUGAUCUUGUGUUAGACAAAUGUGGCUUAAUUUAUGUAAUGCUUCAUGAUUGUGAGUCAAUCUAUAGUUUUCGAUUUUGGUUUUGUAUUUUCUGCUUAGUUGUUUUCAAUCCACCAGAAGAUCAUCAAAUGAAUCUGAAUUUAUCUUCUUCUCUUAGCAUCAUUUUUACUCACUCUUGACACUUAGUGCGACUUUACAUUGCUAUAUAUGCAGAUUAUCAUUCCCUGUUCAGUGUUUAGUGAAUUGUUUAGUAUAUGCCUUGAGAAUGCUGACACCAACGGACUUGUAAUUUCAUAGUGUCAGUGCUGCACUGUUUUAAGGGUUUGCUGUGUAGUCUUGUUCAUGAUUUUGUGUGAUUAAAUUGUGUGACUAAAGAAUUUGAGUUUGCUUUACUUCUGUUCCGGCUACCACGCAGCUCCAGGUUAGUUUCGAUAUAAGUCGAAAUAACAAAUCGGUGCGUUGUGCUUUGUAUGGAAUUGAAUUCUGGAUCUAGAUUGAAAAUUUCUAGGGUUUAGGAAACGAUAUUUAGGUCAUACGAAUCUAUUGUUUGUAGAAGAGAAGGAACAUAACAAAUGGAAGAUGUUCCAGAUCAUUUGUUUUUUUGUUUGAAUGAUGUUCGGAUUUAUAUUUUUGAAACUUUGAAUUAUGCAAAGUUGGGUGAUGCUUGGUUAGUGAAUUCUUCAAUCUGUAUUUUGCUAGAAAGUUUAUCGUACUGCAACAAAUUGAAUGAUUCAAUCAGAGAAUGUGUGAUUACUCCUUGCAGCCCUUUGCUUUGUGGCUUAUUCAAAGAUGACAACAAUCGAAACCGGUCAGAAAACUCAACAGUCUUCUCCUUCCGGUUCUGCUGCUGCGGCUACUGGUACUCUCAAGCAGUCUUCGGCAUCGUUUAAAAGGUGGGGAAGGAGACACCCAUUUGUACGAUAUGGACUUCCGAUGAUAUCUCUCACUGUUUUUGGAGCCCUCGGCCUCGGCCAACUCCUUCAAGGCAGGUCAGUUUUUUCUUGAUUAAACUGAGCUCUGAAUCUAUAAAUUCCUGGGGUUAUAUCAAUGAAUCUGUUUAGAAUUCUCAACUUCACCACAUAUGUUUUUUUUUGGUUAGUUCAGUAAGGAUAUUGCAAAGGUAAAAGAUGACCAAGAAUGGGAAAUUAUAGAAACAAGAAAGGCGCUUUCGAGAACAGGACCUGUUGAUGCUUAUAAACCUAAAAACACAUCCAUCGAAGAUGAGCUUAAGGUAACGAAGAAUAUAUCCUCAAUUUUUCAGGUCUCAUGUUUUAAUGAUUAGACUGCAGAAAAGCUUUGAUGAAAAACUAAGAUCUUGACCGGGUUUUGUUUACCGCAGGCUAUGCAACAGAAGGUGGACAUAAAUACGUACGAGUACAAGAAAAUUCCAAAGCUAAACGAAAGCAAGUCGAGUUAAGUGAAGUCUUUUAAGAAUCAUCUUUGUAUAACAAUUAUCUUUUCUUAGAUGUGUUUCAGUUUUAAAUUACUAUUCACAUAAACGCCCAAGUACAUAUCCCAGCAAGUUUUGGGCUUCCUAAACCAAGAACAAAGAGGGCCACUUUAUAAUUAGAGCAUCUCCAAUAGGGGUUGUUUAAAGGGGUUCGUAGCAUGAAUAACAUUAAAAUUAAAUAAUUAAUAGGGUAUAUUCACAAAAACCGGUUCUUAUUUAAGAACCUUAGACCACCUCCAAAGGUAAGAACCUUUCAUGGGUUCUUACCAUUUGUUUAAUAUAAGUUUGGGUUUUUACCAUUUGUUUAAUAUAAAUUUUGAAAAAUUUAAAGUUAAGAACUUGUGUAAAGGUUUUUAAAUUUGUCAUUGUUUGAUAGUAGAACCUUAAGUGGGAUUCUUAAAAAAUAAAUUAUUUUAAAAAUUAUAAUAUUUAAGUAGAAUUAAAUUUGUUUAAAUUUAUAAACAUUUUAUAUUUUAUAAAACUUAAAAAUUAUUGCAUUUCAUAAAAUCUUAAACAUACAUUACAUAAAAUCUUAAACUUAAAAAUAAAUGUGCAAAACAAAAACCGGAAUAACGAUUAGUUUUAAUUUUGUUUUGUACCAAAUUUUUGUCAUAUAUGUUCAACUAAAUCAGCUUUCAAUUGUUGAUGCAUUGUUUGAUCACGCACUCGAUUUUGAAUGCCCAUCAUAUUUUCGAGAUUUGAAGGCAUAUCUGUAGAAUACGUCAAAUCCACUUGUGAAGUUUUGUUUGCUUCCGCUUGUGCGAAUUUUGAUACAUCAAACUAAGUGUACCCAUCUCGUUCAUCUUCUACUAUCAUUUUGUGAAGUAUUAUACAUGCUUGCAUAAUAUUUCUUAUUUUUACCUUAUCCCAAAUAAGAGCUGGAUUUUUUACAAUGGCAAAUCGAGUUUGCAAGACUCCAAAAGCACGUUCGACCUCUUUACGGACAGCUUCUUGAUAUGUAGCAGAUAAAGAUGCUUUCGGACCUUGUGGAAUUUGAAUAGAUUGGAUAAAUGUUGCCCAUUUAGGAUAAAUUCCAUCAGUGAGAUAGUAAGCCAAAUGAUACUCGUGUCCGUUGACAAAGUAAUUCACUUUUGGAGCUCGACCUUGUAAUAUAUCAUUAAAAACUGGUGAGCGAUCAAAAAUAUUGAUAUCGUUUAAGGUACCUGGAGGUCCAAAAAACGCGUGUCAUAUCCAAAGAUCUUGGGAAGAUACAAUCUCUAAAACAAUUGUUGGUUUUCCAGAUCCACGUGUAUAUUGUCCUUUCCAAGCGGUGGAGCAAUUCUUCCACUUCCAAUGCAUACAAUCGAUGCUUCCUAUCAUCCCGGAAAAUUUGCGUAGCUUUUCAAUAUCGAGUAGUUGUUGAAGAUCUUCUGGAGUGGGUCUUCUUAGGUACUCAUCUCCAAACACAUAUGAUUCCUUUAAAAAAAUGUUUCAAGCAUGAAAUCACAAAGCUUCACCAACACGGAUGUAUUCGUAAACCGCAUCAUCCGCACAACCAUAUGUCAUCAUAUGAAUUGCUGUUGUAGACUUAUGUAGUCUAGAGAGACUGUACCUCCCGGUAGCAUCCCUUCUUUGUUCAAAGAAUAGAAUUUCAUUGGAGAGUCGAUCAACAAUCCGCAUGAACAAAGGCUUGUUCAUUCUAAAACGGCGUCAAAAUAUAUAAGGAGAGUAUGUUGCAUUUUCUAUGAAAUAAUCGUUCCCUAAGCGGAUGAGUCCUUGUUCACAAUCUCUUUCAAUAUAUGCUCGUUUUUUCUUUGAUUUGGUUGCUUCUUGACGAUUAGCAUGAUCAAUGAAAUGAUUCUCGAAUGCUUGAUCAAAAUUUUCAUCCAACGUUUCAUCGAUAUUAAAAGAGAUUAUAUUGUUUCGUUGAUCAUGGUGAUCGUCAAGAAGCAACCAAGUCAAAGAAAAAAUGAGCUUAUAUUGAAAGAGAUCGUGAACAAGUACACUUUCGCUUAUGGAAUGAUUAUUUCAGAGAAUAUGCAACAUACUCUCCUUAUAUAUUUCGGUGCCGUUUUAGAAGGAACAAACCCUUGUUCAUGCGGAGUGUUGAACAAUGAAGUUUUAUUAUUUGAACAAAGAAGAGAUGCUACCGGAAACUUUGGUCUCUCUGUAUUAUAGAAGUCUACAGCAGCAAUUCGUAUGUUGGCAUAUGGUUGUUGACGAAUACUUCUGGGUUGGUGAAAGCACUGCGAUUUUAUGCUUGGAACAUUUUGUUCAAGGAAUCAUAUAUUUGUUUGGAGAUAAGUACCUAAGAAGAUAUACACCAGAAGAUUUUCAACAACUACUCGAUAUUGGAAAGCCAUGCGAAUUUUUCGGGAUGGCAGAAGCAUCGAUUGUAUGCAUUGGGAGUGGAAGAAUUUCCCACCGCUUGAAAAGGACCAUAUAUACGUGGAUCUAGAAAACUAACAAUCGUUUUAGAGGUUGUAGCUUCACAAGAUCUUUGGAUAUGACACGCGCUUUUUGGACCUCCAGGUACUUUAAACGAUAUCAAUAUUCUUGAUCGCUCACCAGUUUUUGAUGAUAUAUUACAAGGUCGAGCUCCAAAAGAGAAUUACUUUGUCAACGGGGACGAGUAUCAUUUGGCCUACUAUUCCACUGAUGGAAUCUAUACUAUUAAUUGGGAAGCAUUGGGUAAUAAAUAACCUUAUAAAGUGUAAAGAAUUACAAAGAAAUGUCAUUACAAAUUUUUGAUUCUACAACUAAAUAAAAGAAAUCGUAGAGGGGUGAAAUUGAGAAUUUGCUUGACACUUACACGCGGAUCUCGGGUCUAAGGGUCGGACCUAUAUCCAACCAUAGUCGGUAAAGCAUGCGGGUCCUGCGUAUUGUGAAUUUGUAUCCGUAAUAAUCAUAUUGGGCUUCACCUAUUAGGGCCUUUAUGAUGCUCUCGAAUUUAGGAUUGAGAUCUACAGUAAUUCAAGUAUGAAUAAAUUAAAUUCAAUACUUUCAAAUAUAUUUCCAUAACAAGCAAAGCUAUAAAUUCGAACUAAAAUAAUAUCACUUCACCGAUAUUUCUAUAACAACCCAAUCCCGUAUAUUUCGAUUAUUAAAACAAAACUUAUUUCUUUAUAUUCGAUUUCAUUUAUUAUUUUUACCAAAAAUAACAAAAUUUCUUUAAAUUUCAUUUAAAUUCGCAUUCAGUUAUUAGUUUUACCAAAAAAAAAAUCUAUAUAAAUAUAUCAGAAUAAAUCAAGUAUAUACCUUAAUUAUUCUUAUUCGAAAAUAUGGCAGUAGUUAAAGUUUGAAUAAAUUAGAUUCAAUAGUUUCAAAGAUAAUACCAUAACAAGCAAAGCUAUAAAUUCGAUUAAAAAAAAAACAGAUCACUUCACCGAUAUUUCUAUACCAAUCCAAUCCCAUAUAUUUUCUAAUAUUAGAUUUCAUUUAUUAGUUUUUACCAAAAAUAACAAAAUCUCUUUAUUCUGUAUUCAGUUAUUAGUUUUACCAAAAAAAAUCAAAAUCGCGAAUCAAGCAUAUACCUUAACUAUUUUUAUUCGAAAAUAUUCUCUUUGGCGGUAGUUAUCUAAACCCUAAUAAAAUGCUAGCCGACUUUGGAUUAGUAUAAAUAUAGGAUAAAGAAUGCCAUUGAAGUUAUACAUUCACCUUUUAAAGCAAUCAGCUAUUCUCUUCCCGUUCCUUCCAAGAAAAUGGCGGCUGCACCACUAGCAUUCACCGAUCUUGCUAACAUCAAGCCUUUCAAAACACAAUGGAGCAUCCAAGUUAAAAUUGUGCAUUAUUGGACUCAAUAUACGACAUACACAGGGGAAACAAUAUAAAUGUUUCUUGCUGAUACAUCUGUAAGUAAAUAUCCCAUUUUCAGUUAGGUGAAAUCGUUGAGUAAACAUCAAUGUCAUCCUAUUAUUAACACGAGUGUUUUUUACUCAUAUACAAGGUACUUUGAUCCAUGCCAAUAUUAAGAAACAACAAGUGAACAAGCUUCAGAGGUUUAUCGUUUCUGGAGAGUGGCGUAUUGUCGAGAAUUUUACACUUGCCAAAUCAAUAGAAAAAUACCGUUUUGAUGUCAAAUUUAUAGUAUAACCGCAUAAAGAAACGAUGAAUGUGGUGUUCAAGAAAGUUUUUCGGAACCUAUAAGACUAAGGGUUGCAAGAGACAUUUGUUCUAAGAGGUAACAACCAAUAAGAAAUGAUUCAGAUCGUUCUCUGUUAUACUAUAAUAAUUUCUUCUUCUUUUAUAUUUUUUUUUCUGUGAACAGGUACAAGCUGGUAUGAAAACGUGCCUUUGGCAAGUAAAGGAGUUACUGAAAUCAGUUUUCAAAGAAGAAAUGAAGUGUUUAGAAUCGCCAUUGAGUUAUUUCCAUUUUCCUUUUCAGACAAUCUUAAACAUUAAAAACAAAACACCUUAACUUUGUUUUCCAAAAGUUAAUUGUGUUUGUAACUUUAUAUUAGGCAAUUGGCAGUUAAUGUGUUCAUAUACAUAAUCAGUAGCCCAGUUAAAGUAUUAUCAAACCAUAACACAAGUUAAUGGAUGGCCACUCUAAUAUUCGUAAAUCAAUCAAACAAACAAUGCCAAAAAAUUGAUUUCUACAACAAUUUUACAAAAUCUAAAUUUAUAACCGCAGCUAUCCUAACUACCAAUUAAAAAAAAAUAGAGAGUAGUUUUCAUUUCACUAACCUUUAACAUUAUAUAGGGCUGUGCUAACUUCUCCACAGCCAAAAUCAAUAGAAGCCUCCUCCAUGUGAAUGUAACGCCGAGAUUAUGCUUGCCUGUAUACAUUAUACAUUUCCAAACUCAAAUUUAAUAAAAUCAUUUAACAUACAAUGAAAAAAACGUCAAGCCUAAACCUUUCUCUCAAAAUAAAAUGCUUAAACAGUAGCUAACAUGUUCUUCAAAUAAAUAAAGUGUUAUCAUUAAAAUAUCACUAACCGUUAAUAUUGCCCCAGGAUUCUAAAUAGCUCAGAAGAUGACAUUGAAAUUCCAUUCUUCAAAAGAAUUUAACUCUAACAGUAGCUAACAUGUUCUUAUCGACUAAACAAAAGUGUAAACUGAAUCAUUUUACUAACCUUUAAUAUUGCUUCAGUAUUUUGAAUAGCUCAAAAGAUGACAUUGAACCUCUCUUCUUCAUAAUAAGUAAAUCUGACAUGAAUAUUGGCAUGUAUACAUUGAACUUUCUAUCAUCAGGACCACAUAUUUAUUAAUAACUAUUGUUUUCUGAUAAUUGCAACAUAAACCUUAUCUUCUUUAGAAUCAUCUUCUUUUGGCAACAUCGUCGGGCAAACCAUUAUCUGAAAUAUAUAUAGAAAAAAUUGCAAUUAGAAGACAUAUCAUGACACAAAAUCAACUGUUAAUAUCUAUAGACAAUCGAAUUUCUAAAAAUCUUAAAUCGGAAAACAGACGAUUUAUGUAAAGAGAUUGGUUUACUAGCUAACACACUCAAAUUAACGAUCCCACAACUGACGAUUUAUGUAAAGAGAUUCAGAUUUCUGUAUUCUAUAUGUAACGAUUUGGGUUCUUGACAUUUAUUGUCCAAGAACUCAGUUCAAACAGAAAAUUUCAAAGAUUCCAAAUCGAAUUGACAAAUUUUUUUAAAAAAUAUGUCACAAAAAACACAAUCAAAUGCAGAGCUUACCUCUUUUAUGAAUUUGACAUGAAAAGAGGUAAACGGAGACGUAAUAGAUCGAUUAUUAGACAAUUUUGGGAUUGAUUCUUAGAAAGAACAAUCACCUGAGAUUUGUAGGAUGUUGUUUUUUAUCACCGAUAAGAAAAAAAUUGUUUUUUCUUUUGCAAUUAUCUGUCCGUAACGAAAAAAAAAAUGAGUCAUAUAUUUAUCUCUAUAUUUAAUCCAAACAAACAAACGAAUAAAUGGAUCCGUUGCAAUAGUAUUAUGAUUAGGGUCUAUAUAUAUUUCGGCCCACUAUAUUAAAAUUUGGGUUUAGCGUUUCUCUUUUAAUAAUUUUCAUUGGAUCCUUUUUUUUGAUAAACCCUAUCGGCUAUCCGGUUAGCCCCGGUAGGAACGCACCGAGGUGCUACAUAGUGGACUGGUCCACCGUGUUAACGGUUAGGCCCUUACGGGCUACCACUCUGCCUAUCCCGAGUUUGGAAUGCCUUCCGACUAAGUGCCAGGGGAUAGUCAGGCCGCCUGCAUUUCUGGCUACCAGGUAAACCAAUUAGUUGUAAAAAUUAAUAAUAACCAUUGGAUAAAGUUAUAAACAAUAAUUUAGUAUUACCAAAUAAAUUUUUUUACAUUUUAUUAAAAUCUACAUUAUUCUAUAAAAAUCAUAAUCAAUAUUAUAACUAAAACAUACCAAUUCUGCAACUGCCCAAAUUAUUUAUAUAUUAUUUACCAAAACCAAACAAAACUAUGCAAUCAUUUAACAAUAAAAACUUACUUAUUUUUAACUUAUAUUUCAUUCUAAAUGUAUAACUAAUCAAACAUAAAACAAAUUUGUGUACCAAAUCUUAUUAAAAACACAGAAUAUAAUUUGGGAAAAUUAGAUAUAAAGGAUAAAUAAUUAAAUUAUUGUCCAUCUAUGCAUUCUAUAUUUAUAAUUGAUCAUAUAUGUUUUAAUAUUGGUCAUAUAUGCUUUAAUAUAAUUAAAAUCCCAUUUUGUCCCUAGUUUCUUUAAAUCUUGCUAAACUAUAAAAAAAAUUCCAAAAUUAAUUAGAUUUCUUUCUAAAAGCAGUUGGAAAAAUAUAGGGCAAAAACAAUAUUUAUUUACUUUCCAAAUUUUUUGCCUAGAUAAUUCCAAAUCUUUUUUUUGUUUGAUUUUUUUUUUUGGUAACAUCUUCUUCGAUUCUUUUGACGUCAAAUUCUUCGAUUUUAUCUUUUGGUAGUUUUUUGGAUUUUUUCAAUUCUUUGGAGCUUGUAUAUAUAUGUAAAAUUCUAGAUUUCUUUGCAUGUGUUGGAUUAUUGUAGACGUAAAAUUUGUAGACAUAAUACAUUUUUUAAAAUUUGUAGACGUAAGAUUUCUAAAGUAAUUAGAAUACAUGUUCUAAUUUGUAGACAUAAUCUUAACCUUAAUAUUCAAUUUUAUCAUAUUUAAUAUUAAAAUAUUCAAUUUCUUUAUUUAAAGAUUUAGUUUCCUUUUUAAAAAAAAGAAAUUCUAAAUUAUAUAGAAUUUGUUUUCUAUUUUUUGUAGAAUAAAAAAAAAAUAUAAGAAUGUGUUUUCUAACAAUUUUAGAACAUGGGUAAAUUUUAGAAAUGAUGUUCUAGUUUUUCUAGAAAAAAUAGCAAAGUAUAGAAUAUGUAUUCUAAAUUUCGUAGAAAUUAGCUAUCUAAAUACCGUAGAACAGAAAUAUGUUCUAAAUUUCGUAGAACAUGUAAAGUGCAUAGAAUACAUUAUCUAAAUUUAAUAGAACAUAAGCAAUGUGUAGAAUACACAUUCUAAAUUCAGAAUGUGUAUUCUAAACUUCGUAGAUCAUAUUUUAUUUAUCCAAAACUGUAACAAAAACGAUAUAUUUUCGACAUUAUAAGAAUCUUCAUGACUUCUUUUUCAUUUGCCUACAAAUUGUUCUAAAAUUUAUUUGAAAAACUAGUUAAACCAACUACAAAGGGUAAAUUAGGAAUAUGUGGUAUUUAGUCAUAGAAUGCAUUGAUGGACAAUAGGUUAAUUAUUUAUCCUUUAUAUCCAAUUUUCCCAUAUAAUUUUGUAAUAAAUUUCUAAUAUUAUGGUAUAUAUUCAUUAUCUAAUUCCCAAAAAAACAAAAACAAAAUAGUUUCUUAAAAACUACUGAAAAACAAACAAAUUGAUUAUAUAUUUUAUAGAACACAUUUUUUAAAAUAUAAAAUCCCGCACGUAUGUGCGGGUCAUGAUCUAGUUUAUCAUAAAUGGGCAACAUUUAUCUAAUCUAUUCCAAUUCGACAAGAUCCGAAAGCAUCUUUAUAUGAUACAUAUCAAGAAGUUGUUCGUAAAGAUGUCGAGCGUGCUUUUGGAGUCUUACAAACUUGAUUUGCCAUUGUUAAAAAUCCAGCUCUUAUUUGGGAUAAGGUAAAAAUAAGAAAGAUUAUGCGAGCAUGUAUAAUACUUCACAAAAUGAUAAUAGAAGACAAACGAGAUGGGUACACUCAGUUUAAUGUAUCAGAAUUCGCACAAGCGGAAACAAACAUAACUUCACAAGUGGAUUUUACGUGUUCUACAGAUAUGUCUUCAAAUCUUGGAAAUAUGAUGGGCAUUCGAAAUCGAGUUAGUUAUCGAGCAAUACAUCAACAAUUGAAAGCUGAUUUGGUUGACUAUAUAUUACAAAACUUUGGCACAAAUCAAGAUUACAACUAAUCGUUAUUCCGAUUUUUGAUGUACACAUCUAUUUUUUAUAUGGUUUUAUGUCAUGUAUGUUUAAAAUUUUAUGAAAUGCAACAAUUUUGAAGUUUAAUAAAAUAUAAAAUUGUUUAUAAUUUUUUUUUAAUAAUUCUAUUUAAAAUAUUAUCAUUUAAAAUAAUCAGUUUUCUUAAAAUCUCCACUUCGAGUUCUACUAUUGGACGAUGACAAAUUUAAGAACUCUUACAAAACUUCUUAACUUUAAAUUUUUGAAAUUUAUAUUAAAAUAAUGAAGAGUUCGUACCUUUAGAAGUGGUUUUAACCAAAGAACCGGGUCUUUAAAAUCCAAUUUUUGAUAAUAGAUGUUGUCAUGUUAAUUUACGACGUCCAAACCUUUAGAUCUGAAAGAGAUUUUAUAUCCGGUUAGACUUUACAUUUUUAUAACAUUUUAUGCACAACUUUAUUUUCUAGUAAAUUUCUCACCCAACAAUGGUGCAUGAGGAGCAGUGCCCGUAUGGUAAAAUACGGGACCAGCUACAAAAAAAAAUUGAGGCCUUUUGAAAAAAUAAAAAUUGCUACUUUUAUUAUUUUUUUGCUAAUUAUUGGACAUUCAUAAUUUUUAUUUAUUAAUUUUUCUUAAUUUUUAGACAUUUUUGUUAAUUAUAAGAUUUUUUACUAAUUAUGGAAUAUUUUUUUUUGUUAAUUAUGUGGCAUUUUUGCUAAUUUUGAAAAAAAAUUACUAAUUUUGAGGCUUAAAAAAAAAUAUAUAUUCUCAGCAAACUUGACUUUAAAAAUAUGAGGCCCAAUACAAAUGUUUCAUAGAAAUUGGUAAAGGGCCGGGUCUGACGAGGAGAUCCCUCAAUAUCGUAUAUUGUGUCGUUGUAAAACAAAUCUUGCCCUCUUUUUGAUUCAAUGACUCGGCCUCUUAAUCUACUGUCAACUCUCCUAAUGCGCGUUUAUAUUUCACUUCUCAAAUGACUGGUUCGGACUCAACACUGACCAUUUCACCCAUGACUCUUGUCGUUGGAUCCAGAUAAUGCAUAACGUUCUUUGCUCUCUCAACGUUCAGUCGCCUCCAAUUCUAUUACAUUUUCUUCCUUUCUCAUACACCUAACAUUAAACAUCAUAGCAUCUUUUCAAAAAGUUAUACACAACACAAAUCCAAUACAUAAAUUUGAAAUAACUUAACUAGAUAUAUAAAAUAUAUAUAUAGCUCAAAACGAAAGCAUUAGAUGUCUAUUGUAAAUUUUUUUCAAUUUUAUACAACAAAACCACCUCUAAUUGUUGUAAGAGAAAGAUCCUCAAAUUCAAGUAUACAAACAUCUCAUUCAAUUAGUCAAAUGGAUCACCUCCAAAUCUCAUAUACGAUGCAGGUCAAACAAGCGGAUGAACUUGAAAACAUACUAACCAAAAAGUUCCUUAGAUUUUUGUCAACGAGCCCAGAAGCUUUUCAAGUACCGAGGAGGAAACCAGUGCAGGUACCGUAGACCUUAUUCUUGAUUCAAAUUAGCUACUUGUGAGUGCUACUAUGUCUUUUUUGGCAGUUGUAAAUGCAUUCCCGCUUCAUGUUAGCGUUCUAGAUAGACACUUUAAAAUUCAUUUCAUGUCUUUUUUCCCUUUUAUAAAUCAUGAAUCAUUUCACUGAGCGGAAAAUGCAUGUCUUGGCUUUAGAUGAUUUUUACUGUUUAUUCCAUGCAUUGUGUGAAUGACUCAUUCCCUGACCCCCCUUCAAUUGGUUUCUUCUUGGUAUUUUGAACAGGGCUAUGACAUUAGCUUUCUUAUAACAAACUAUGUACCACUGCGAAGAGAUGCAGAAACAGAAGCUAAUCGAUUUCAUUAUUCAGUUUAUGGAAGCAAGUCUUUCUCUAAACCCAAUCUUUGUGAUUCUAUGACCUUGGUUGUGAAAAAGCAGAGAUAGAUAAGGCACACGAGAAUUAACGAGGUUCGGCAACGUGCCUACGUCCUCAAAACAAUAACUAGAUUCACUUAGACAAUCUUUACAACAAGACCUUGCCUAACUGGAAUUACACGACACUAAGAACCUCUUAGUUCGACACCAAACAAUAUCUAGUUACACCCAGUAUUAGAACAACUAAACCCGUGUUCCAGCAAGCAGCUCGACUUGCCUACAAAAGCACCGAAACAGAGCAAUUCAUUUUUCUCUCUCUCUUUUCGGCUAGCCCUAGCAACACACAUCUCCCUAGUAUAUAUACCCAUAUACCUAUGAGAUAUGUCACCCUAGAUUUUAUCCCGAUACAAAAGGAAAAUAUCCUCUUCUAAAUAAAAGAAACAAAUCUUCAAUAAUAUUCUUCUCCAAGAAUAUCUUCAAUUGCACGUUUCUUCUGAUUUGAUCUCUCUAAAUAUCUUUCUGAUAUUUAUCUUCAACUCCACGAGCCACGUCAGCACCAACCAAGCAAUCCCAAACUUGUUCCAACAGACCGUUUCUUGUUCCAGCAAGAUCUGCACUUUCAUUCUCCCCCUUUUUAACUGAGUUUUACAACUCAAGCUCACCAUAAUUAUCACGCAUCCCCAGCAAGACAUCAUGAUAUACAAACUCCCCCUUAAUCAUAUAUCACUGUGAUAAUUAACUCUCCAUGGAUCUUCUACUCUCCAUGGAUCUUCUACAUUCUCCCCCUGCUUGAGUGAUAAAACUUUGUUAAAAAAUACUUGCUGGAAUAUUCUCCUCGAUCAGAAUCGUCUUCCACUUGGAUCUCUCCAAUAACUCUCAUUUCUAAAUCUGAACUUUUUCUUCGCAAACUUUGCUUGAUCAUUUGACAUGUGCUUCAAACACCUACAUGUGCAGCACAUCAUCUUCCUUGGAGUAUUGGUUGAUGACUUAUGAGACACAUCACCAUACAAAUCCAUCUUCUUAAUCCAAACCUUUUGAAAUCUCCUUGAAUCUUGAACAAACUUCUUUUGCUUUAAUGCACAUCUAAUCUUGUCAAGGAACUUAUAGCAGUAGGCCUUGAUAUGCCCUUUCUUUCCACAAUAAAAGCAUCCUGAAGUACAAAACACUUUUUGGUGACUCUUCUGGGUUUCAGUUCCAACAGAAUUCAGCUUGUUCCAGCUAACAACACAUGUUCUUAAAUUUGAUGAACUUUUGUUGCAUCCACGAACAUAACUCAUCUUCUUCUCAUCAGAAAUACAUGGACUGGUACUUUUGACUUGUACAUUAUGCUCAUCCAUCGGAGUUAUGAUGAGACUUUUUGCGGUCGUCUCCAACAGGUUUUCCCUUGUUCCAGCAGAUUUCGACAGAUUCUCUUGAACAAAAAUAGUCUUUGAAUCAGAUGUACCUCCUUGAUAACCAAGACCAAAUCUUGUUUUCUCUGUUCUUCCCAUGCUUAGUAUUUGAUCUAGGUUCUUUGUUCCAUUAUUCAACAUCCUCAAGUACUUUUCAUUCUGCAUGAGUUCAUCCUCCAACCGUUUAGAUUUUUCUUUUUCUGCUGCAAGUUCCUCCUUCACGUUUAGCAUAUGAACAACUUCAUGAUCUUCAUUCUUCAAAGCACAAGAACACUUUUGAUUUUCAGCAAGCUUGAUUUUCAAUUUCUCUGAUUCUUCUUUCUCAAGAGUUAGCUCUUUCUCGAUAUUCUUUAUCUUACUUUCCAUCAACAUCUUCUCAUCGAUUAGUACCAUGUAGUCUUUACUUUUCUUAACCCAACUCUCAUAAAGACUUUUGAAUUCAGCUUGAAGAUCCACCUCUUGAUCGCUUUCUAAAUCGAUGCUUGUGUUGGAGUAUUCGCUACUUGUUUCAGCAGUUGAUAUAGAAUCAGAUAUUUCGCUUCCUUCUUUGUGCUCCACGAAUGAAGGUAAUGCCACGAAGUUGGCUAACUCCUCUUCAUCAUCUGUUUCACUCUCACUAGAGUCUUCAUAGAUAUUUCUUUUUAUCUUCACACCGUCGACACACUCAGAUUUUGUAUGUCCAUAACCGUUACAUCCUAAGCAACGAACCUUUUUCUUCUUCUUGAUACUCGGACAUGCAGACUUGAUGUGUCCAAAUCCUCUACAUUCAUGGCACUGUAUACCACGUCUUCCUUCUCCCACAUUUUUGUAUGUGCCAUGAUCAUUUUCCAAAGAGUUCUUACCCCUUUUUCCAACGUCUUUAAGAAGUUUCCCAAACAUCUUCACAAGUGAGCUCAUAGAUUCUUCUAAAUUUUGUAUUCUCAACUUGUCAUCAUUCUCAUAUAGAGUUGGUCUAUUGACACUAUUUGAAAUGACAUCCUGUUGGUCCAUCUCAUACGCUUGUAGUCUCCCAACUAUUUCAUCAAAUGGGGUCUCAUCCGUGUUAAAAGCAGUUUCCAUAGCCGCCUUUUGUGCCUCGAAUCUCUUAGGCAAACAUCGCAGCAACUUCUUGACAAGCUUCUUGUCUUUGUACGUCUUCCCAAUCACAUGUGCUUCAUUAGCAAUCGCACACAGCUUAGCACUAAAAUCUGUAACAUUUUCGUGCUCAUCCAUUCGUAGAUUCUCAAAUUGAGAAGCUAGCCUGUCAAUUCUUGAUAUCUUCACACUUUUUGUUCCUUCAAAAACUUUUUCUAGCUUAUCCCACGCUUCUUUGGCUGAUUCACACCCUUGAAUCAACUUGAAUUGAUUCUUGUUAACCGAGGUAAAAAUAGUAGAUAAAGCUUUUGCAUUAUACCUUGACAUAGUCUUCUCAUUCUUUGUCCAUUUAGCCUUUGGUUUAGUGACAAUAGAACCGUCUCUUUCUUCAAUUUUUGGGACUUCAUAGCCAUCUUCCACAGCUGUCCAAGCGUCCUCAUCAAUACCUUGUAUGAUUGCCUUCAUAUUCACCUUCCAAUAUCCAUAGUUUUCAGCAUCUAACGCAAGACUUUUAACUGCCAACCAUUCUCGAAAUAUUUCAUCCAUCUCUUUCCUCAGGAUCCUCACCCGUUUGUGGAGUCAGACUCUUUACAGAUGUCCGCUCUGAUACCAAUUGAAAAAGCAGAGAUAGAUAAGGCACACGAGAAUUAACGAGGUUCGGCAACGUGCCUACGUCUUCAAAACAAUAACUAGAUUCACUUAGACAAUCUUUACAACAAGACCUUACCUAACUGGAAUUACACGACACUAAGAACCUCUUAGUUCGACACCAAACAAUAUCUAGUUACACCCAGUAUUAGAACAACUAAACCCGUGUUCCAGCAAGCAGCUCGACUUGCCUACAAAAGCACCGAAACAGAGCAAUUCAUUUUUCUCUCUCUCUUUUCGGCUAGCCCUAGCAACACACAUCUCCCUAGUAUAUAUACCCAUAUACCUAUGAGAUAUGUCACCCUAGAUUUUAUCCCGAUACAAAAGGAAAAUAUCCUCUUCUAAAUAAAAGAAACAAAUCUUCAAUAAUAUUCUUCUCCAAGAAUAUCUUUAAUUGCACGUUUCUUCUGAUUUGAUCUCUCUAAAUAUCUUUCUGAUAUUUAUCUUCAACUCCACGAGCCACGUCAGCACCAACCAAGCAAUCCCAAACUUGUUCCAACAGACCGUUUCUUGUUCCAGCAAGAUCUGCACUUUCA